GCCAUUAGUGCCAAAAUUCGCCACUUUUCUAACGCGUUUGAUUAAGAAAUGGCGUAAAAAACGCCGUUUAAUUUUUCAAAACGCCGAGAAAAACGGCGUUCUGUUUCGACAAACGCCGUUUUUUCCGACUCUCACAUGGCGCCCUGAACGCACCAUCCGAGUGACGUAAAAAGCGGCGUUCAAAGACAGACGGAAACGCCGUUUUUUCCGCCACUCGGCAGAAAACGCCGUUCAAAGAUGCAUAAAAACGGCGUUUUUUACGGCGUUCUGUGCCAGCUGUAACGGCGUUUAAAACGGCGUUUUAUUGAAAUUAUGCAGGGCACUCCCCAUGGUUCCCUCAUCCAAUUACUUUCAACUCAUUUCACCCAAUCAAAGAAGACGAAGUGCAGACCACACUAAUGCAUCACCGAUUCACCUUGCUGCUGAGUGAUUGCCUAUUCGGUACCAGUGCUUGUCACAGUAUUGACUUGUAUUAUAAUCCCACUAUGCAUUUUGAUGUGUUUAAGGCAUGAUCAAGCAAACAAACGACAGAAUGCUUUUUCUGAAACCUUAACUGUGGUACCUGUUAUGGCAGCUAACAGACACUCGGCGCAUGGCUCCUUUGUUUACGUUAGGGAUCAGCUGUUAGCGCUGCGCCCUGCAGCUGCGCUACCGGCAGACGGUAGCGUCCCCAGUGAGGGAAGAGACGGGGGUGAUGUCUCCCGAGAAGGACACCUUACACACCAUCUCUCCUUCCUGUAAUCACUGUAAACGUGAGAUCGCUCCCUGAUAUGAUUGAGGAGCUAAUGACGCUAACCCGGUCACAGUGGCAGUACCCCGACACUGCCCGGUACUCCCUCUGUGAGUAGGCUGCCCGGCUUCCAGCUGCUGCGGCCGGACAAGACGAGAGACAGCGGUGAGAGGAAAGGAGGGGGACUGGGCAGUGUUUGUUAAAGACGGUUGUGGUAUCCCUGGGCACAUUGCUGUGAAAGAACAACUCUGCAACAGAGACAUUGAGCUAUUAGCCAUUAGCAUCCGUGGAGGCAGCCUGUGACUCUCUGUGGUCCGCAGACGCAAUCUCCGAGAGCUCUUCUUCUAAUAUCAGGGGACUUUAAUCAUGUCUCGCUGGACUCCACACUGACCACCUUCACCCAGUAUGUGACCUGCCCCACCGUAGGCAAUAAAACAUUGUACUUAAUGUAUGCCAAUGAAAAAGUGGCAUACAGUUCAUCACCUCCCCCUGCCCAGGGAAGAUCUGAUCGUAAUUAGUGCGCCUUGUCCCUGUGUGCAGCACUUAGUGUGCACGGAGCCACCAAUCACCCACGCAGUGCCGAGAUGGUCCGCGGAAGGCAUAUGAAUAAAUAAUAAAAGCAAAUAAAUGACAGAAUGCUUUUUCUGAAACAAACGGAGACCUUAACUUUUAUCAAAAUACCGUUUUACUCAGUUUAAAGUAAUACCACUGUAUAAUAGCCUUCAAAUUUAAUAAUGUUAACAGUAUCUCAGGAAUAUUUUUGCCCCAUCAACAUGCAUUAAAAUUAGAUAUGCAGUUUUGAAUCAGACCUGUAUGUACGUUUUCUGAAAAGUGAUGUAAAUAAAUAAUCUCAAAAACAUGAAAUAAUUGUUUCCCAUGUAAACUGGAGUUGUCCUUGUCAAUGUCAUCAGAGUACUCUGGAUGUCUUACAUGAAUUUGAAACAGAGAGUGGCACAUGACAGCGUUGCACAUAACAUAACUAGUUUA